rnacentral:rRNA from 1 species
CAGCAGCCGCGGUAAUACCGGCGCCCCAAGUGGUGGUCGCGAUUAUUGGGCCUAAAGCGUUCGUAGCCUGUUUAGUAUGCUCUUGGUGAAAUCCAUGCGCUUAACGUAUGGGCGUGCCAGGAGAACUGCUAGACUAGGGACCGGGAGAAGUAAGGAGUACUGUUUGGGUAAGGGUAAAAUCUUAUAAUCCAAACAAGACUACCUGUGGCGAAGGCGCCUUACUAGAACGGGUCCGACGGUGAGGGACGAAAGCUGAGGUAGCGAACGGGAUUAGAUACCCCGGUAGUCUCAGCCGUAAACUCUGUCUGUUAGGUGUUACGCGUUGUUCGACGGCGUGUAGUGCCGAAGCGAAGGCAUUAAACAGACCGCCUGGGGAGUACGGUCGCAAGGCUGAAACUUAAAGGAAUAGGCGGGGGAGCACAACAAGGGGUGAAGCCUGCGGUUCAAUCGGAUUCGACGCCGGGAAUCUCACCAGGACUGACAGCAUUAUGAAGGUCAACCUGAAGGGCUUACCUGAAACGCUGAGAGGUGGUGCAUGGCCGCCGUCAGCUCGUGUCGUGAGAUGUCUUGUUAAGUCAAGCAACGAGCAAGACCCUCAUCAUUAGUUGCUAGUUCCUAAGUUUUUGGGAAUGCACACUAGUGGGACUGCCUGUGUAAGCAGGAGGAAGGUGAGGGCGACGUCAGGUCAGUAUGCCCCGAAUGUCUUGGGCUACACGCGGGCUGCAAUGGCUAGGGCAAUGAGCUGCAACACCGGAAGGUGAAGCCAAUCUCCUAAACCUAGUCUCAGUUCGGAUCGAGGAUUGUAACUCAUCCUCGUGAAGCCGGAAUCCCUAGUAACCGUAUUUCAUAAUGGUACGGUGAAUACGUCCCUGCCCCUUGCACAC